GUUGGCAACGUUGCUUGGCUAGAUAAACAAGUUCGGAAAUUUACUGUGAAUAAAUCGCGAAAAUUCUUAAAACUGAGGUGAAAAUAAAAUUUAAACACCACACCAAUUCGUAUCUAAGGACAACAGCGAAGUGUACAAUCAAAAUUCGGAGUGAAACAAACAUUUUUAAGUAAAUAAAACCUGCAGAGCCAGUGCUGGUCAAAAAAACAAGGUUAGCUAUAAAUAAACAAAA
rnacentral:lncRNA from 1 species